CAAAGCAAGUGCACACUGUUGAAGCUUUUUGUGUGGCUUCCUUGGAGCAUUCAGCAUUUUCUUCCUGCCAGUAAUGAAGGAUUCUUUCUUUUGCUUGGAGGAGAGUGAGCUAGGACCAAACUCAGCUACUGAGAACGAGGCAGAGCAGGGACAAGAGUUCUCCCAGGCUGAUUACACCAUUUCUACCCAGAAUCUGACAUGGUCUAGACUUUUUAAAAGAAAAAACAAUGUCAGCUACAAACAGAUUGCUUUUAAAUAUGAAGGAACAUAGGUGGGAUAAGUAUUGGGUACAAUUCACUGAUGUCAAAAUAAAGUCCUUAAUUAUUUGGUGGCUUGAAGGAUUUCUGUCUGCAGUGCUGAAUGCCUUCCAGACCACCUUGGGCCCACGAGAUCUGUGAGUAAGGCCCUGGCAUUUGUGCCUCCAGCAGGACAGAAAAUGAGUGGUAAAAUGGAUCCUUUAAAUUCUCUGGGGCAGGAGAAGCCUCCCUGCCAGGUGGGCACCCCCUGGAUCAAAGGGGAUGAUCAGGAGUGCCCAGGAGGAGCAAGGACACCAUGAGGAGCUUGGAGGAGCUGCCUCUGAAUUCCAGGAGCAAUUCUGAGUGUUUGGGUGAAGAGACACAAGGAGAAAGGAUCCCCUGGGGUUUGAUACUCCAUCAUUGCAUGGAAACAGCCCACUGGUUCUGGGAGAACAAGGUAAAUUACAAUUCCAGCCACUGAAGCAUUUAAAUAGUCUGCCUUGCCAGAAAUUUAAAUUGCUCCUUAAGAGCAAACCCAUUUUGUGAACUUUACUUUUGCCAGCAGCUUCUCUGACUCAGCAGAGUUUAUUUUAUAGCCUGUGUAUUAGUGGGGUGCACAGAACUUUCUGGAGAGUUUCUGUGCAUAAACAGACCCUCGCACUGUGUAAAACAGAACUGGAGAGAAAAGACACCAAAGCACAAGACUAAUAGACAACAGAGCUAGAAAACCAAAACAUCUCUCCAGGGUAGGACUUCAUCUUCCCACAAUUUAAACGAGAAAAAUAACAAAAAUCCUAACAAAACCUUUUAUAUAACUUCAGUGUUGCAGUGAUCAGUUUCAGGGUUGACGUGACAGCAAUUACAAACAACAGUUAUGCAACUGCCUCCUUGAUGGAACUGAAAUUAAUACAGAGCCAGACAAAAAGAAAUGGCUUUGGGUUGGAUUGUUAUGCUUGAAAGAAAUAAAAACCCGCUCAGGUCAACCUCUUUUAAAAAAGUGAACAUAAGCUCAAGCUGAAAAAGCUCCUUGAAGAACAGACAGAGUAAGUUGCUCUUAAAAUUCUCCUUGUGUUAGAGACAAAAUUGUUUCUCUUCUAAGGUUUACAGCUCAUGGUUUUUUAAUCUGACUAGCUAGUUCAGGAUUUUAAUUUUGCUCACGUUCCUUGCAGUGUCCUUUUCUAGCAGCCCUUAGCAGAGCAUCCCUGGCUGUUGUGAUUGUGGCUGAUUCACAGCACCGGAGGAGAAGCCCACGCUCACGUGUGCGCCCACAUCAUCCCCUCCACUCUCCAUCUGCAGGCUGGAGUGGAGCUGAAGGCAGCAUCUGGCAUCCCAGGCAGGAAUGAAUCCUGUGGGUGAACACUGUUGGAGAGGGCUUGGAUUCAUGGAGAGAAAACCUGGGAAAAUCCUGAGUCUAACUGGAAAAUCCUGAGUCAGAGCCCGGCCUGCACUGACAGGAGCUGUUCCUGGCUCAUUCCCUGAGAUGUCUCUGGUGAGGCAGGGGGCAGGUGCUGUUCACACAGCAAUGGUUUGUGCAGAUGUCUUGGUUUGAACAGACAGGUGUCUGCUGAGGAAGGCAGGAGCCUCCCCUGAAAUGGAAAAUGUAAACUCCCCCCCCCUUCCCCCCUUUUCUGAAUUGCUAUAAAUAUGGGAGCAGGAAUAACAGAUCUUUAAUGGGGAAGGAAAUAAAAGGAUAAAGUAAACACUGCAGUAACUAAACCAACCCUGGCAGAGGCAGAGCACAGCCUGACAUCCUGUGGGUCAGGGGCUGGCAGCAGUGCCACUGGAAUUGUGGCUCAGCCCUCCUGCAGUGCCAGGGCUGGUUCUGCUGGAGCAGGGAUCCUGGAGAAGGGUGCACUCUGCCUCUGGAGAUCCAGGGGCAGAGGCAGCUGCUGCUUCUCUGGGAAAUCCAGUGGAGAAGCCGUGCUGGUGUUCCAGAAUCUCAGAUUAUAUCCAGGUAGGAAUGCUUGGCUCCUCCCCCUGGGCUCACAUCUCCCAGUGGGAUGCUGUAGCUCUUAUCAGUGACAUUCAGUGGCCUCUUAUCAGCAGGUGUCUCCCCAGCUGUGGAAGAGAUAAGGGAACACUGAACAGAAGCCAACUGCCCUACAGAUGGUAACAGAUACAAUUUGCUGGACACCCCAGGACAGCAGACAUGAGCCAAAGCCCUGGGAUUUGCCACUCAGAGCCAGGAAACAGAAGACUCCUGAGCUUUUUUGCACCCAGAGGGAGAGGAGGAGCAGAUUUUGAAGGAUCCUACAUAAGAUGGGUUUGCUGCACAUCCACUGCCACGUGCUGGUUGGUGUGAGUCACCCUGGGAAUUCAGUGCCCUGCACAGAACAGGUUCAGUCAGGAUGAAAACACUGACCAUCCAUACGUGCCAGGAGCUUUUGUGCUGAUUCCCCACCAGCCCUGCCACAAGCAGGUGUUGGACAUGUGGCUUCAUCCCCAGCAGCCUCAUUGCUCAGGAGGAAAGCUGACCUCCAGAAAAGCCUUGGCUGUGGAGUUCCCAAAGACCCCUUGUUCACACCUGUGCUUCUGUGUGGGCCAGGAACUGAGCACUGCAUGGAGCCUUGGCUGUUCAGUGCCAUCAAAAAUCCACUUUGUGUUGUUCUCCUGUUGGAACCCCUGAGAAUUUUAAACUUUCUGUGCUUAAAGGCACAGACCCACAAGAGAACACUGCAGUUGACCUGGGGCUGUGAAGGCUUCCAGAUUUGAUUGAUAGCACUGGAAUUACGGGUGUAGAGUUGGUUAAAAGUGUGUGACAUCACAGGGUGGGAAACACAGAGUCUGGGGUUUUAGAAUAUAGAAAUAAAUAUGAAGCAAGAUGGAGGUUUUAGGUGGAGGCAGGUUGUUCUUCUUUACCUUCUUCUUCAUCUUCUUCCUCCUUCUUCACCUUCUUCUUCCUCCUUCUUCAUGGAUUUGGGGGAUGUUUUGUAAUUGGGCAGAAAAGUCCCCAUUGCAGCUCUGUGGGAUCAGUUAUUGGGUUAAAAGGGAAAAUAAUCUGGGUGUCAGUUCUUAACUGGAUAGUCUUAAAAUACCUUGGAACAAGAGA